GACGAACGCUGGCGGCGUGCCUAAUACAUGCAAGUCGAGCGGACCGACGGGAGCUUGCCCCCUUAGGUCAGCGGCGGACGGGUGAGUAACACGUGGGUAACCUGCCUGUAAGACUGGGAUAACUCCGGGAAACCGGGGCUAAUACCGGAUGCUUGAUUGAACCGCAUGGUUCAAUCAUAAAAGGUGGCUUUUAGCUACCACUUGCAGAUGGACCCGCGGCGCAUUAGCUAGUUGGUGAGGUAACGGCUCACCAAGGCGACGAUGCGUAGCCGACCUGAGAGGGUGAUCGGCCACACUGGGACUGAGACACGGCCCAGACUCCUACGGGAGGCAGCAGUAGGGAAUCUUCCGCAAUGGACGAAAGUCUGACGGAGCAACGCCGCGUGAGUGAUGAAGGUUUUCGGAUCGUAAAACUCUGUUGUUAGGGAAGAACAAGUACCGUUCGAAUAGGGCGGUACCUUGACGGUACCUAACCAGAGAGCCACGGCUAACUACGUGCCAGCAGCCGCGGUAAUACGUAGGUGGCAAGCGUUGUCCGGAAUUAUUGAGCGUAAAGCGCGCGCAGGCGGUUUCUUAAGUCUGAUGUGAAAGCCCCCGGCUCAACCGGGGAGGGUCAUUGGAAACUGGGGAACUUGAGUGCAGAAGAGGAGAGUGGAAUUCCACGUGUAGCGGUGAAAUGCGUAGAGAUGUGGAGGAACACCAGUGGCGAAGGCGACUCUCUGGUCUGUAACUGACGCUGAGGCGCG
rnacentral:rRNA from 1 species